GAUGAAGAACGUAGCGAAGUGCGAUAAGUAAUGUGAAUUGCAGAAUUCCGUGAAUCAUCGAAUCUUUGAACGCAAAUUGCACUCUCUGGCAACCCGGGGAGUAUGCCUGUUUGAGGGUCAGUGUUAAUAAAAAUCGGUGCGUCGCAAUUUUUUUGUGAUGUUUCCGGAGUUUGAGUUAUCUUAACUCUUCUGGGUUUUUAAGAGGCUUAAAAUUGACCUUUUUUGUGCAUUUUAGACGUACAUAAAUUUUUUUUUAUUCGUCUAUCUUAAUGCCAAAAUCUAUUAGAUGCGACCAUAUCAUGUGGUUUCGUGUCUAUAAAUUUUUUCAUGAUUUGACCUCAAAUCAGGUAGGAACACCCGCUGAACUUAAGCAUAUCAAUAAGCGGAGGA
rnacentral:misc_RNA from 1 species